rnacentral:misc_RNA from 1 species
UAAGCUAGUUGUUGAGGCUUUAGAACUCUUCUCUCAAAUGAGUAAUAAAGGCAUUUCACUGCGUAAUUCAUGGUCUUUGCAAUAUAGGCCAAUGAAAUCAAGCUUUGGCCUUGUUUAAUGAAAUGGUGGGGCAGAACAUAUCACCAAAUGUUGUUAGCUUCAAUGUAUUGAUUGGUAGUCUUUGUAAGAAAGGAAUGAUUACAGAUGCUCAAUGUAUAAUCAAAAUAAUGAUUCCAAGAGGUGUGGAGCUUGAUGUGGUCACUUAUAACUCCUUAAUUAAUUGUCUUUGCAAUUUAGGCAAAUGGAGUCAAGCUUUGACUUUAUUGAAUGAAAUAGUGGGACAGAACAUAUCACCAAAUGUUAUUACCUUCAAUAUAUUGAUUGG